rnacentral:rRNA from 1 species
AGUCAACAUGCCCAGGGGACGUGGAUAACCUCGGGAAACUGAGGAUAAACCGCGACAGGCCAAGAUUUCUGGAAUGAAUCAUGGUUUAAAUCUAUAUGGCCCCUGGAUUGGACUGCGGCCGAUCAGGCUGUUGGUGAGGUAAUGGCCCACCAAACCUGUAACCGGUACGGGCUCUGAGAGGAGGAGCCCGGAGAUGGGCACUUAGACAAGGGCCCAGGCCCUAUGGGGCGCAGCAGGCGCGAAACCUCUGCAAUAAGCGAAAGCUUGACAGGGUUACUCUGAGUGAUUUCCGCUAAGGAAGUCUUUUGGCACCUCUAAAAAUGGUGCAGAAUAAGGGGUGGGCAAGUCUGGUGUCAGCCGCCGCGGUAAUACCAGCACCCCGAGUGGUCGGGACGAUUAUUGGGCCUAAAGCAUCCGUAGCCGGUCCUGCAAGUCCUCCGUUAAAUCCACCCGCUCAACGGUUGGGCCGCGGGGGAUACUACAGGGCUAGGAGGCGGGAGAGGCAAGCGGUACUCGAUGGGUAGGGGUAAAAUCCACUGAUCCAUUGAAGACCACCAGUGGCGAAGGCGGCUUGCCAGAACGCGCUCGACGGUGAGGGAUGAAAGCUGGGGGAGCAAACCGGAUUAGAUACCCGGGUAGUCCCAGCUGUAAAC